CAGUAGCCGCGGGAACACAGAGGGUGCAAGCGUUAAUCGGAAUUACUGGGCGUAAAGCGCGCGUAGGUGGUUCGCCAAGUUGGAUGUGAAAUCCCCGGGCUCAACCUGGGAACUGCAUCCAAAACUGGCGAGCUAGAGUAUGGUAGAGGGUGGUGGAAUUUCCUGUGUAGCGGUGAAAUGCGUAGAUAUAGGAAGGAACAUCAGUGGCGAAGGCGACCACCUGGACUGAUACUGACACUGAGGUGCGAAAGCGUGGGGAGCAAACAGGAUUAGAUACCCGUGUAGUCCCUGUCUCUUAUAC
rnacentral:rRNA from 1 species